GUCUACAGCCUUACCACCCUGAAUGCGCCCGAUCUCAUCUGAUCUCGGAAGCUAAGCAGGGUCGGGCCUGGUUAGUACUUGGAUGGGAGAAAAGCAGGAAAACACAAGUAAACAAGUAGAAG
rfam:Rattus norvegicus chromosome 7, whole genome shotgun sequence.